AAAAACACAGCACUGUGCAAAAUCGUAAGAUGACGUAUACGGUGUGACGCCUGCCCGGUGCCGGAAGGUUAAUUGAUGGGGUUAGACUUCGGUCGAAGCUCUUGAUCGAAGCCCCGGUAAACGGCGGCCGUAACUAUAACGGUCCUAAGGUAGCGAAAUUCCUUGUCGGGUAAGUUCCGACCUGCACGAAUGGCGUAAUGAUGGCCACGCUGUCUCCACCCGAGACUCAGUGAAAUUGAAAUCGCUGUGAAGAUGCAGUGUACCCGCGGCUAGACGGAAAGACCCCGUGAACCUUUACUACAGCUUGGCACUGAACAUUGACCCUACAUGUGUAGGAUAGGUGGGAGGCUUUGAAGCACGUACGCCAGUAUGUGUGGAGCCGUCCUUGAAAUACCACCCUUGUAGUGUUGAUGUUCUAACGUCGACCCCUUAUCGGGGUUGCGGACAGUGCCUGGUGGGUAGUUUGACUGGGGCGGUCUCCUCCCAAAGAGUAACGGAGGAGCACGAAGGUGGGCUAAUCACGGUUGGACAUCGUGAGGUUAGUGCAAUGGCAUAAGCCCGCUUGACUGCGAGAAUGACAAUUCGAGCAGGUGCGAAAGCAGGUCAUAGUGAUCCGGUGGUUCUGAAUGGAAGGGCCAUCGCUCAACGGAUAAAAGGUACUCCGGGGAUAACAGGCUGAUACCGCCCAAGAGUUCAUAUCGACGGCGGUGUUUGGCACCUCGAUGUCGGCUCAUCACAUCCUGGGGCUGAAGUCGGUCCCAAGGGUAUGGCUGUUCGCCAUUUAAAGUGGUACGCGAGCUGGGUUUAGAACGUCGUGAGACAGUUCGGUCCCUAUCUGCCGUGGGCGUUGGAAGAUUGAAGGGGGCUGCUCCUAGUACGAGAGGACCGGAGUGGACGAACCUCUGGUGUUCGGGUUGUGUCGCCAGACGCAUUGCCCGGUAGCUAAGUUCGGAAUCGAUAACCGCUGAAAGCAUCUAAGCGGGAAGCGAGCCCUGAGAUGAGUCUUCCCUGAUACUUUAAGUAUCCUAAAGGGUUGUCGGAGACUACGACGUUGAUAGGCAGGGUGUGUAAGUGCUGUGAGGCAUUGAGCUAACCUGUACUAAUUGCCCGUGAGGCUUAACCAUACAACACCCAAGGGGUUU
rnacentral:rRNA from 1 species